GACGAACGCUGGCGGCGUGCUUAACACAUGCAAGUCGAACGGAAAGGCCCUGCUAUUGUGGGGUGCUCGAGUGGCGAACGGGUGAGUAACACGUGAGUAACCUGCCCUUGACUUUGGGAUAACUUCAGGAAACUGGGGCUAAUACCGGAUAGGAGCUCCUGCUGCAUGGUGGGGGUUGGAAAGUGUCGGCGGUUGGGGAUGGACUCGCGGCUUAUCAGCUUGUUGGUGGGGUAGUGGCUUACCAAGGCUUUGACGGGUACCCGGCCUGAGAGGGUGACCGGCCACAUUGGGACUGAGAUACGGCCUAGACUCCUACGGGAGGCAGCAGUGGGGAAUAUUGCACAAUGGGCGGAAGCCUGAUGCAGCAACGCCGCGUGCGGGAUGACGGCCUUCGGGUUGUAAACCGCUUUCGCCUGUAACGAAGCGUGAGUGACGGUAAUGGGUAAAGAAGCACCGGCUAACUACGUG
rnacentral:rRNA from 1 species